AGAGUAAUGAGUGCUCAGGAAAAGGAUCACAAGCUGUUUACUGGGAGAUUCUACUUGUAGAAUGAUGGGCAUGGGUGUCCAAGCUUUUGGCUUGCCUGGGCCACACUGAGAGAAGAGGAAUUGUCUUUGUUGGGAAUUUGUUGCUUCAGAAGUAAUGCCUCCUAUUUAUUUCCAUGUGUUGAACAGACAUCCUUUAUGCUAAGCCUCAGCCUUCUUCCCAUAAGCACCAAAGUCUUCUGCUUCUCCAGAGCAGCAGCUGCCUCUGUACCAGCUGUGAGUCCUCCUCACAGCCCCAUGCAGCUCAGGUCCCUCCUACAGACUCCUCCUGUUGCCCCAGCACAGCAGCUCAGAGGAUGCCGGUCCCUGCCUUUGUUCCUUCCUCUUGCUGAAGAAGAGAUGAGGGGACUUGGUGAGGGAGGGGGUGGAGAUGGGAAGGAUGGGUUCAUGGCAUCCUUGACUGUCAAAAGAAUUCCCAGGAAAUGAACGUCCCAUGUGAGCCCACGGGGUGAUCUGAAAUUUGGGUCUCUCCCGUUUAAUGGUGCACUUACAGGACAGGAUGUUCAGCGCUGGCAUUGAGGCAGCCGUGGGGGGAGGUGGGCAGGACCCCACCCUGCUGUGAUGGUAGGGAUGGGGUCUGGAUGUCCUCUCACGCAGCUUGAAGAGUGGUGGCCUGCUGGUGGUUUGUCCCUGAUGGAGGUGGAUCGACCUCCACUGGGUCUUCCCCAGGCCUUG
ensembl:lncRNA